CAGGCUUAACACAUGCAAGUCGAGGGGCAGCAUUUUAGUUUGCUUGCAAACUGAAGAUGACGACCGGCGCACGGGUGAGUAACACGUAUCCAACCUGCCGAUAACUCCGGAAUAGCCUUUCGAAAGAAAGAUUAAUACCGGAUAGCAUACGAAUAUCGCAUGAUAUUUUUAUUAAAGAAUUUCGGUUAUCGAUGGGGAUGCGUUCCAUUAGUUUGUUGGCGGGGUAACGGCCCACCAAGACAACGAUGGAUAGGGGUUCUGAGAGGAAGGUCCCCCACAUUGGAACUGAGACACGGUCCAAACUCCUACGGGAGGCAGCAGUGAGGAAUAUUGGUCAAUGGGCGAGAGCCUGAACCAGCCAAGUAGCGUGAAGGAUGAAGGCUCUAUGGGUCGUAAACUUCUUUUAUAUGGGAAUAAAGUUUUCCACGUGUGGAAUUUUGUAUGUACCAUAUGAAUAAGGAUCGGCUAACUCCGUGCCAGCAGCCGCGGUAAUACGGAGGAUCCGAGCGUUAUCCGGAUUUAUUGGGUUUAAAGGGAGCGUAGGUGGAUUGUUAAGUCAGUUGUGAAAGUUUGCGGCUCAACCGUAAAAUUGCAGUUGAAACUGGCAGUCUUGAGUACAGUAGAGGUGGGCGGAAUUCGUGGUGUAGCGGUGAAAUGCUUAGAUAUCACGAAGAACUCCGAUUGCGAAGGCAGCUCACUAGACUGUCACUGACACUGAUGCUCGAAAGUGUGGGUAUCAAACAGGAUUAGAUACCCUGGUAGUCCACACAGUAAACGAUGAAUACUCGCUGUUUGCGAUAUACAGUAAGCGGCCAAGCGAAAGCAUUAAGUAUUCCACCUGGGGAGUACGCCGGCAACGGUGAAACUCAAAGGAAUUGACGGGGGCCCGCACAAGCGGAGGAACAUGUGGUUUAAUUCGAUGAUACGCGAGGAACCUUACCCGGGCUUAAAUUGCAACAGAAUAUAUUGGAAACAGUAUAGCCGUAAGGCUGUUGUGAAGGUGCUGCAUGGUUGUCGUCAGCUCGUGCCGUGAGGUGUCGGCUUAAGUGCCAUAACGAGCGCAACCCUUAUCUUUAGUUACUAACAGGUGAUGCUGAGGACUCUAGAGAGACUGCCGUCGUAAGAUGUGAGGAAGGUGGGGAUGACGUCAAAUCAGCACGGCCCUUACGUCCGGGGCUACACACGUGUUACAAUGGGGGGUACAGAAGGCGGCUACCUGGUGACAGGAUGCUAAUCCCAAAAACCUCUCUCAGUUCGGAUCGAAGUCUGCAACCCGACUUCGUGAAGCUGGAUUCGCUAGUAAUCGCGCAUCAGCCAUGGCGCGGUGAAUACGUUCCCGGGCCUUGUACACACCGCCCGUCAAGCCAUGAAAGCCGGGGGUACCUGAAGUACGUAACCGCAAGGAGCGUCCUAGGGUAAAACUGGUAAUUGGGGCUAAGUCGUA
rnacentral:rRNA from 1 species